UACGAAGGGGGCUAGCGUUGCUCGGAAUCACUGGGCGUAAAGCGCACGUAGGCGGAUCUUUAAGUCAGGGGUGAAAUCCCAAGGCUCAACCUUGGAACUGCCUUUGAUACUGGGGAUCUCGAGUCCGGAAGAGGUUGGUGGAACUGCGAGUGUAGAGGUGAAAUUCGUAGAUAUUCGCAAGAACACCAGUGGCGAAGGCGGCCAACUGGUCCGGAACUGACGCUGAGGUGGCGAAAAGCGUGGGGAGCAAACAGGG
rnacentral:rRNA from 1 species